UAGUGGGGAAAACAAGACUUCUUUAUACAAAGAUUUACUAAGUACUUAUGCACUAGACACUGAAAAUAAAGAAAUAAAUAUCACCAUCAAGAGUUCACAAUCCAGUAAGAGAGGGAGGAUUAUAAAGACCUCAAACAGUAAGAAGCCU